UUAAACUGCAAGAUUUUUGAGCAGGGGUAGAAGAAUUAGGCCCCUUGGGGUGUCGGCGUGCUAAAGUUUAUGAGGCAAUAUUAACUGUCUCCAAUAAUAAUUUAUGUUAAUGGCUCCGGUCGGCUACGAGAGCGAGCAGGGAGAACGCGCGACAGUUGCUAUUGUAGCAUAGCGAAGAGUGGAGGUGUUAGUGAGUUAAUGUUAAGUAAUUAGCAAUAUUUUCUGAUAACAUCGGAAAUGACUGGUGCAGUGGUGUUGAUUAUUUGCUUAAAGUAUGCCGAUCUUUAAUUAAUCCGACUUCGAAAAUGAAAACUCUGAACAGGAGAUAUGACUGAAGUUACAAGUGUAUCUAUAAUUCUAUAACGAAAGACGAAACAUGCUUAGGUGGUAGGACAUAUCUUCGAAAAAUGCAUAUUAAGGGAUCGACAUAAAGGUAUCAAAAGCGACCUGAAAGGAAACACGACGCUAAUCAAGAUUCAACCAACUGUUAUAUUUUGUAGAAAGUGAGGGAAAGGGAUUGCUGUCAACGUCUUUAUCCUUGAGGAACCCGAUCACGAAAUAUUCAGCGAGGCAUGAAUUCUCAAAGGAGUCCUUGGAUUACGGAACUUCCAAGGACUGAGAUCUCUCACAUUUCAUUUGGGAUGUUUUGUGAGCGCAGCCGAAGAUUUUCGGUAAUGCGCAACAUCCCCUAGUGCGCGGGAAAACUGGGCGUGAAGCGAUCGAUCGAGCAUCAGGAGCUGGCUAUGUUUCCACCCAUUGCUGGCAUCUCGACAUGUACAACCUACUGUCACAGGCCAUGGCACCCUCUCUGUCAACAAGAUGCGUGAUAGUUACAAGAAAAGUGCAACUUUGAUGGACGUGUUUACUGCCCAUUAUUUCGCCUCUCCUAUAUUUACCUGCACGUGGUUUCAAUUAGGUAUGCACAUUCGUUUUUAUUACUAUUUGUAGUAACACACAUUGUUUAAAUAUUUGCUUUUCUUGCCUUUUAUGUCUUGUUUUAACUAAUUACAUAAAAUAAUUAAUUUA